rnacentral:rRNA from 1 species
AUUGAACGCUGGCGGCAGGCCUAACACAUGCAAGUCGAGCGAGUGGCGGACGGGUGAGUAAUGCUUGGGAAUCUAGCUUAUGGAGGGGGAUAACUACGGGAAACUGUAGCUAAUACCGCGUACCAUAGGAUGAGCCCAAGUGGGAUUAGGUAGUUGGUGAGGUAAAGGCUCACCAAGCCGACGAUCUCUAGCUGGUCUGAGAGGAUGACCAGCCACACUGGGACUGAGACACGGCCCAGACUCCUACGGGAGGCAGCAGUGGGGAAUAUUGCGCAAUGGGGGCAACCUGACGCAGCCAUGCCGCGUGAAUGAAGAAGGCCUUCGGGUUGUAAAGUUCUUUCGGUAGCGAGGCGUUAACUACAGAAGAAGCACCGGCUAACUCCGUGCCAGCAGCCGCGGUAAUAC